GUGCUUGCUUCGGCAGCACAUAUACCAAA
rnacentral:snRNA from 1 species